UACAUGUGGGGCAAGCGUUGUUCGGAAUUACUGGGCAUAAAGGGUGCGUAGGUGGUUUGUUAAGUCAGGGGUGAAAUCCCGCGGCCCAACCGUGGAACUGCCUUUGAUACUGGCGAACUUGAGUGCGUGAGGGGUAGGGGGAACGAGCAGUGUAGGCGGUGAAAUGCGUAGAUAUUGCUCGGAAGGCCAGAGCCGAAGGGGCCCUACUGGUGCGCAACUGACACUGAGGCACGAAAGCGUGGGGAGCAAACAGG
rnacentral:rRNA from 1 species